AACUAAAUAAAUCUUCAAUAGUUGAUGCAAAGAAAAAUUCAACCCAUCCAUUCAAAAGUCCUCCCUGCAUGACUGUCACAAGCUAAGAUUUUGACCAACAACCUGAAGCAAAAUUAAACAAAAUGUUUCAUCAAAUAUAAAGUGCAAAUGCAUUCACAGAAAUCAGAAUCAUAGGUCCAUUUUUGUAAGUACCUUUAGCAACUUGCUUGUGAAAUUAUUAGAAUUGAAAAUGUCAACAACAAAUAAAAAACAUAAAAUAUGAUUUACACUUGAUUCUCUUCUACAGAGACUUCACCAUUCAUUAUUUAUUUAUAAUAGAAGGAACUUUAAUUGCUUAAAAAAUAGAAAAUAUGUAGUAAACUGAUAAGUAACUGUUGAGUUGUAGGAUGUAAGGAGAAACAACUUCUUCCCCUAUUUAUAACGCUUGUAUUUUAAGAAGUCGUCAAACUCUUGAAAUAUCUUCAAGGAAUCUUCCUACUUUAUGGUGUCUUACAUUUUGAUCAUACUGAAAUUAAUAUCCUUAUUUUGUCAUAUUUAAUAAGUAAAUGCUUCCGUGUCUGCGGUAUGUCACUUUACCUACAUUCUUUUUUUCGGCAAUACACCACCUAGGCAUCUACAAUGAAUUUCAUUGUUGGUUAUUUUCAUUUAUCAUGAGAUCAAAUAGAGUCACUUGUCUCAACUUGUCCUUUCUGAGUUUCUGUCAGUAAUAUUAGGACUUGAAGAGACGGUCAAAAUUGAAUGAAAGAACUUCUCUUAGGAAUAAAAUGCAUUAAAAUCUCUAUUUUCCUUUUCUUAUUUAUACUACUGCUUGAACUUAGAAAACAUUAUGAAGACAUGAUAACCUAGAAGACACGAAAAUGACGCCUAAUGUAGGAGCUAAUGUUCACUGGUUCUUUGUUCUAACAGAUACUUUAACAUCUGAUGAGUUCUUAUUAAAUAGAAUGGCAACUAAUAUAUUAUAAAGAGAUGCAGCAAACAUCAUGAAAACUAAAUCAUUCUUUAGCCUAUUCCAUAACACCUUCAUAUUUAUAGAGAGCAUAAAUACAAUCAUAUAGACAAUUCCUUAUGCAAGCUAGAAACAACUUACCAUUAAACUCUUCGUAAAGCUUGUCCUGUUGGUACCCUUUGUCACGAUCAUUUUUUCAUAUUCUUCUUCAUUUUUUUUUUCUCGAACGUUGAAUCUAUUCAGUGAUAGCAAGCACAAUAUGAUUUUUUUUAAUUGUAAAAUAACUAAAUUUAACAUAAGAAACCCAUGGAAGAACUUAAAAGUAAUACAAAAUAGAGAUUUUUCUGCUCAAGUUUCAAUAAUGCAAAGAAAUUUUAACUUUUUGAAAGUUGGACUUCUUCAAACACAUUAUGCGUGUUAGGUAUGUAAACAUAAGAUAAAUGUAAAGAAUCAUACUUAUAAUACAAAACCUAGAAAGUAUAUAGUUAGAUGAUGUUAUUAUUGUGAGACUCCUAUUAUGUGCUAUCAUGUAAUGGCGACGCUCAUCUUACAAAGCAAAAUUUCUACAGUUUCCUUGAUCACAAGAUAAGGCAAAUGUAUUGGUGAGAUAAUUAAAGAAACUAAGCUCACGAAAUAUCUUGUUUCACCUAUAGGCUCUUCCAUAUAUAUUGUUGCUACAUCUCCCCCCGCCUACUCCAUGUAAACAUAGUAAGAUGACUUUAGAUGCACUUACGAAAAAUGAGUUAACAGAUUAGAAGGUGAGAUAUAUUAUAUUAUCUGAUAAUGCAGACACCAAAAUCAAGAAUGAGAGAUAAUACUAAAUGUAAGCUUCAUAUCAUGAACAUGGAGACGCCUUUCAUGUCCGAUUGAGUCUUGUUAUUCAUAUGUGAUAGGAAGCUAGCUGUAAACUUUAGGGUAGGACUUCCUAUUACCACAGAAAACCAACAGUCCAUUCAUAUGAUCUCACACAACAACUUUUGAACACCUAGCAAAAAAAAAAAUGAAUAAAAGAAUUAAUUCUUACUUUUAGUGAUUCCCCUCAAGAUGCAAUCAUAAUUUAUGUGUGAAGAAGAGAAAAUUGACUUUCACAAAAUAUCAUCAUAGAGCAUGUAAAUCACUUAUCAUUUCCGAUUGAGUUCUAUUUAUUAAUAGAAAACAUGAAGCUACUUGUGAACUUGAGGGAAGAAGUUUCUAGUAACAUAGAAUACCAACAACAUGGAAAUACACUGUUUAUCAUCCAUGACCUCUAUCACCCUGAAACUAACGAUUUGUAUCAACUUUCAAAUCAAGUAAAGAAAAUAUAGUUGUUGAUAGGUUAAGUUCAGUGACAAUUUGACAGUACUUUAAUGCUUAACUUAUUCAUAACUUUCUCAAAUAGUUUUCUUUGUAUAAUCACUGCAUCGUUACUCAUAUUCACUUAUGUACCACAUUAUCAUCUUGAUAUAGUAAUCAAAUCUUAAUAAAGCUACCAUCUGACCUUUAUAAGAUGUCCAAUAAUGUUUCGAUAGGAUAAUAUAGUGGCUAAAGACCAAAAGUAUCAGACGUUAAAGAUAACAAAUUUAAAGUUAGAAAUUCAAUCGAGUUCACGGGUUGUACACCUAUACCAUCUAAAGGUUAUGUGAUUAGCUCCAUGAGAAAGGAUGGAGUACUGAUAGUCAUAGUCUAGUAAAGAGAAGUGAUGUCUUUUCUACACUUUCAAAAUUGAAAUGCUCCUAUUACUUCUAGCUAUUACUUCAUUAGAAUAUUUAUUUGUCAGGUCUGAAGAAAUAUAUAGAACGUUGUUAUUAGUUUCUUAGAAACUUUCUAAAAAUCUAGAAAAGUUCAUAACACGAAGAAAUAAAAAAAAGAAGCAAGACAUUCUUAAAAAUUGAAAGACUUCUCCUAUUAAAGAAUGCCAUUCUAUUCCUUCAAAUGUGCAUUUUUCAAUUCGAACAAUGGGGUGCAAGCUUCAUUAACCUUUUUAUGUAGUGCAGAGUCUUCCCAUAACUAUGCGGGAAGAUAUUUGGUGGCCUUUUAGAUUUCAUGUGAAUGUGUUCCGAAUGAUCUCAUCGUACACACUAUUUUAUGUAGAAUGAUCAUCUAUAUCUUCUAUUGUAGGCGGACGUAUUAAUAAUUUGACAUUUUUUUGGAGUUGUGAUGUCAACAUUAGCUUUUGAGACAUUUGAUAUUGUUCCAUCUCUUCUACAGUUGACACAUUCUAAAAUGAACAUCUCUAUCACGCCUGCGACAACAUCAUCAACAACAAUAACACAAAGAUAAUUAGUUACAUAAAAGGCAGAAUAGUUAAAGAUCAUUCUAAAUGUGAUGUGUUUAUUCACCUCUCUUAAACUAUCAUUAGUCUUAAUAUUUGCAAAAUUUAAUUACUCAAGAAAAAAGUAAGUUGUUUUAUCGAGUUUUUAACUUACUGUAACCACAAGUGCAUCUCCAGCAACCAACACUAUAAUAUCAGCACAAGAAACAACUCCAAGACAUAGCUCCAACAAAUCUCUUAACAUCAUCGAUGAAUGAGAAGCCUCUCAAUGCCAAAUUAGGAUUGGCUUGAUUUUCAAUCCGAUUUGCAGAACUUGAAAUGAAAUUAAGAAGCACAGUCCAUCAUUACCCUGCAAAGACCAAAAUUUUAAAUAGGAAAAAGCAAAAUAGAAUCAGGAACAAAGCAAAUUCAGUAAGAAUGUAUGUGAAACAUUUGGUCACGAUACAGAGUUCAAGAAAAUAAGGAUGACUUUUAAAUCGUAUGAUCUUGAAAAUAAAUAUGUGUCUAAUACAUCAAAAUUUUAUCUAAAAUUUGUGGUCUUAAACAUGUCACGUAGAAUGUCGGAAUCUAAGAGUUGGUGAAUAAAGAAAGAGAUAUUUUUUGUUUUGAAAAGACUAAAAAAGCGAGUAAAGACACAUAAACUGAAAUUGAUGGAGUAAUACUCACAUUAACAAAGCAAUCAUGGAAAUGCAGCAUUUUGAGUAUGAUUUUUGCAGUAUUUGGAGCCUUUGGAACUUGUUGCUGAACUAAGUCUUUAAUAAUAUUAUCAGCUUUUGGCGUAGAAAUUAAGCUCAAAUCAAUUUAACCUAUUAGACAACUGAACUUUUUGGUUCAAACAUAAUAGUUAGUGAGGUCAAUAACAUGUAGUAACUGAAAUCAAAGAACAAAAGGCAAGAAUAAGACUUCUGCUACAAAAUUUCAUUUUUCUUUUCAAAACUUACAACUUGAAAGGGAAAACAAGUUGAUUUAGGCAAAUUAUCAAACACCCUUGGUACAUUACAGCGCAAACCUGGCAUAAUAUUGACAUGCAUGUAAAACUUUUCACCCCAACUUCAUCAUCAAAGAACCCAUCCACCCUAAAAUGUAUUUUCAAUAUUUUUUACACAAAUUUUAUUACCGAUUCAAGCAAUUUCCAUUUCAAACAAAGACUAUCAACUUUCAUUAUCAAUAAAAAGAGAAAAUAAAAAUACAAUGGAAAAAAAAGAAUGAAGAAACAGAUACGGAGAAAAGAAGGU
rnacentral:lncRNA from 1 species